UACAGAGGGUGCAAGCGUUAAUCGGGAAUUACUGGGCGUAAAGCGCACGUAGGCGGUUUUUUAAGUCAGAUGUGAAAGCCCCCGGGCUCAACCUGGGAAUUGCAUUUUGAAAACUGGGGGAACUAGAGUGUGUGAGAGGGGGGGUAGAAUUCCAAGUGUAGCGGUGAAAAUGCGUAGAGAUUUGGAGGAAUACCAGUGGCGAAGGCGGCCCCCUGGCACAACACUGACGCUCAGGUGCGAAAAGCGUGGGGAGCAAACAGG
rnacentral:rRNA from 1 species